rnacentral:rRNA from 1 species
CACGCCGUAAACUAUGAUCACUCGAUGUUGGCGAUAUACAGCCAGCGUCUAAGCUAAAGCAUUAAGUGAUCCACCUGGGGAGUACGGUCGCAAGAUUGAAACUCAAAGGAAUUGACGGGGGCCCGCACAAGCGGAGGAGCAUGUGGUUUAAUUCGAUGAUACGCGAGGAACCUUACCAGGGCUUGAAAGUUAGUGACCGCCGCCGAAAGGUGGCUUUCAGCAAUGACACGAAACUAGGUGC